GAUGAGCGCUGGCGGCGUGCCUAAUACAUGCAAGUCGAGCGGUAAGGCCCUUUCGGGGGUACACGAGCGGCGGACGGCUGAGUAACACGUAGGAACAUACCCCAAAGUGAGGGAUAACUGCUCGAAAGAGUAGCUAAUACCGCAUGUGAUCUAAGGAUUAAAGCUUUAUGCGCUUUGGGAUUGGCCUGCGUUCGAUUAGCUAGUUGGUAGUGUAAUGGACUACCAAGGCGAUGAUCGAUAGCUGGUCUGAGAGGAUGAUCAGCCAGACUGGGACUGAGACACGGCCCAGACUCCUACGGGAGGCAGCAGUAGGGAAUUUUCCACAAUGGACGAAAGUCUGAUGGAGCAACGCCGCGUGCAGGAUGAAUGCCUUCGGGUUGUAAACUGCUUUUAUUAGUGACGAAUAUGACGGUAACUAAUGAAUAAGGACCUGCUAACUACGUGCCAGCCGCCGCGGUAA
rnacentral:rRNA from 1 species